rfam:Rhizopogon vesiculosus strain AM-OR11-056 contig37144, whole genome shotgun sequence.
GGCACUAUGGCCGAGUGGUUAAGGCGAGAGAUUCGAAUCACGUGAUAUCUCUUACGGUUCCCGUGCGCAGGUUCAAAUCCUGCUGGUGUCG